AUUGACCGCUGGCGGCAUGCUUAACACAUGCAAGUCGAACGAGUGGCGGACGGGUGAGUAAUAUCUGGGAACGUGCCUAGUUGCGGGGGAUAACUACUCGAAACGGUAGCUAAUACCGCAUACUAUUGUAUCGGCCCAUAUUGGAUUAGCUGUUUGGUGGGGUAAAGGCUCACCUAGGCAACGAUCCCUAGCUGGUCUGAGAGGAUGACCAUCCACACUGGGACGGAUACACGGCACAGACUCCGACGGGAGGCAGCAGUGGGGAAUGUUGGACAAUGGGCGAAAGCCUGAUCCAGCCAUGCCGCGUGUAUGAUGAAGGCCUUCGGGUUGUAAAGUACUGUUGGCAGGGAUGCGGUAUCUGCAGAAGAAGCACCGGCUAACUCCGUGCCAGCAGCCGCGGUAAUUC
rnacentral:rRNA from 1 species